rnacentral:lncRNA from 1 species
GUUGGCUUGUUGGUUGGUUGGGUGGGAGGGUUGGUGUGUUGGUUGGUUGGUUGGUUGGUUGGGUGGGUGGUUGGGUUGGUGUGUUGGGUGGUAGGUUGGUUGGUUGGGUUGGCUCCAUUUGGAACACAUUCUGUUCGUCACUUCUUCAGGAAGAGAAAACUGGUUUGGACUCUCAUUAUAUCCAUACUAUGAUAGAAUACUGUCUUAUGGUGACAUGUCAUAGUGAACUCUAUAGAGAGAUGAAGGCUGGAGGAAUGUGGGAUAUAAACAAAUGUACUAAUGUAUUUACCCUUUUUUUUAUAUUGAUGUAGUUCAGUCCUUGAGCUGUUCUUGUCUAUUCAUGUUCUGUAUUAUGUCAUGUUUUGUGUGGACCCCAGGAAGAGUAGCUGCUGCUAUAACAACAGCUAAUGGGGAUCCUAAUAAAAUACCAAAAACAAGUUUGUUGGACUCCCACAUAAUCAUUAUGGUUUCCCUCUUCGUCAUGACAACACUGGAACCAAUCACUACUAAUCUAUGAACCACACCAACUACUGUGUGUCUGACAUAGCACCCUAUUCCCUAUAUGGUGCACUACUUUUGACCAGUGGCUUUGGUCAAAAGUAGUGCACUGUAGGGAGUUGUAUGCGUCUGUACAAAUUAAAGAUGAUUUAUAUACUAAACAAAAAAUAUAAACAACAAUUUCAACGAUUUUACUGAGUUACAGUUCAUAUGUGGAAAUCAGUCAGUUUAAAUAAAUUCACAUGACUGACAAUACAGAUAUGCAUCUGUUGGUCACAGAUACCUUUAAAAGAAAAUGGGCCUCGGGAUAUCGUUAGGGUAUUUCAUGGGCCUCGGGAUAUCGUUAGGGUAUUUCGUGGGCCUCGGGAUAUCGUUACGGUAUUUCAUGGGCCUCGGGAUAUCGUUAGGGUAUUUCAUGGGCCUCGGGAUAUCGUUACGGUAUUUCAUGGGCCUCGGGAUAUGGGUUAGGGUAUUUCAUGGGCCUCGGGAUAUCGUUAGGGUAUUUCAUGGGCCUCGGGAUAUCGUUACGGUAUUUCAUGCGCCUCGGGAUAUCGUUACGGUAUUUCUGUGCAUUCAAAUUGCCAUCAAUAAUAUAAAAUGUUGUAUGUAGUUUAAGCCCACCGCCACCAUGGGACACUGUUCACAACAUUGACAUCAGAAAACCGCUUACGCACACAACGCCAUGCACGUGGUCUGAGGUUGUGAGGCCAGUUGGACGUACUCCCAAAUUCUUUAAAACGACGUUGGAAGCAGUUUAUGUAGAGAAAUGAAAUCUAUGUGCAUUCUUAGUAGCCUCUACUUGUCACUUUGAGAUCAUUACGGUCAUCUCUCCCCAACUGUUUGUAUUUGAGAUGAUUACAGUAACUCUUCUCUCCCCAACUGUUUGUAUUUGAGAUGAUUACAGUAACUCUUCUCUCACCAACUGUUUGUAUUUGAGAUGAUUACAGUAACUCUUCUCUCACCAACUGUUUGUAUUUGAGAUGAUUACAGUAACUCUUCUCUCCCCAACUGUUUGUAUUUGAGAUUCUUACUGUUUGUAUUUGAGAUGAUUACUGUUUGUAUUUGAGAUGAUUACUGUUUGUAUUUGAGAUGAUUACUGUUUGUAUUUGAGAUGAUUACUGUUUGUAUUUGAGAUGAUUACUGUUUGUAUUUGAGAUGCCAUUUGAAGCUGUUAGAUUACUAGUAGUUUCCAACAACAGUUAGGCAGGCAUGCUCUGAGAACAUGACUGUCUGUAAUGGCACCCUAUUUCCUAUAUAGUGAGCUCCUUUUGUCUUGACUUGGGCCUAUAGGUGGUAGACUAUAUAGGGUGCCAUUUUGGACACGCUCAGGUCCAGUUAUUUUUUUUCAACCGUAAUGACUGCUGUCUUUCUGUCGGCUGUCUGAAUGAUGGCUGUCUUUCUGUCGGCUGUCUGAAUGAUGGCUGUCUUUCCGUCGGCUGUCUGAACUUUGGAUGUCCAUUCCUCCUCAAAUCCCCGUCAUGACUUUUAAACUCAAACAAUAUUCCCUGUGUUUAGACUGUUUGCUCCGUUUGUUGAAUUCUAUUAUUAAUUCUAAAUAUUUUGGGUUUCUUUUCUAUUUUUUUUAUUGGACAAUGUUUUAUAUGUAUGUUAUAUUUACAAUGUGUAUUUAAAAUAUUAAUGUAUUAUAAAUUGUCAAUUGAAAUUCACAAAAUAUUUUCCUGAAAGAUGCUUUGGAAGUAUUUUGUUGAGGAAAACAGUUAUAAUUUAUGCUAUGCUGUAUUGCUGCAUUAAAUAAGAGAAACUGAAA